UACGAAGGGGGCUAGCGUUGCUCGGAAUCACUGGGCGUAAAGGGUGCGUAGGCGGGUCUUUAAGUCAGGGGUGAAAUCCUGGAGCUCAACUCCAGAACUGCCUUUGAUACUGAGGAUCUUGAGUUCGGGAGAGGUGAGUGGAACUGCGAGUGUAGAGGUGAAAUUCGUAGAUAUUCGGCGGAACACCAGUGGCGAAGGCGACUCACUGGCCCGAUACUGACGCUGAGGCGCGAAAGCGUGGGGAGCGAACAGG
rnacentral:rRNA from 1 species